rnacentral:rRNA from 1 species
UACGGGGGGGGCAAGCGUUGUUCGGAAUUAAUGGGCGGAAAGGGUUUGUAGGUGGCUUGUUAAGUCAGACGUGAAAUCCCUCAGCUUAACUGGGGAACUGCGUCUGAUACUGGCGAGCUUGAGUGCAGGAGAGGAACGCGGAAUUCCAGGUGUAGCGGUGAAAUGCGCAGAUAUCAGGAAGAACACCCGUGGCGAAAGCGGCUCUCUGGAACGGUACUGACGCUGAGACGCGAAAGCGUGGGGAGCGAACAGG